rnacentral:rRNA from 1 species
AUUGAACGCUGGCGGCAUGGCUAAAACAUGCAAGUCGAACGAUCCCUUCGGGGAGAGUGGCGAAAGGGCGAGGAAUAGAAUCGAAUGUACCCCAAGGUGGGGGAUAGCCUCUGGAAACGGAGGGUAAUACCCCAUGUGCUCUAUGGAGGAAAGGUUUACCGCCUUGGGAGCAGCGAUUCUCCUAUCAGGUAGUUGGUGAGGUAACGGCUCACCAAGCCGAAGACGGGUAGCGGGUGUGAGAGCAUGACCCGCCGCAUCGGGACUGAGACACUGCCCGGACUCCUACGGGAGGCUGCAGUAACGAAUCUUCCGCAAUGGGCGAAAGCCUGACGGAGCAAUGCCGCGUGUGGGAUGAAGCAUCUUCGAUGUGUAAACCACUGUCAGGGUCUAGGAAUACUGACCAGACCCAAAGGAAGGGCCGGCUAAUUCCGUG